GGUAUAUGUAGGUUGGUCAUGCCUCUGGUAUGUACUGGUCUCACUGAUUCCUCCUUCCUUAUGAACCGUAAUGCCAUUAAUUUGGUGUUGCGGGGAAUUUGGACUGUUACUUUGAAAAAAUUAGAGUGUUUAAAGCAAGCUAACGCUUGAAUACAUUAGCAUGGAAUAAUGAAAUAGGACGUUCGAUCUUAUUUUGUUGGUUUCUAGGAUUGACGUAAUGAUUAAUACCCGAUAGUUGGGCGCGACGGGCG
rnacentral:rRNA from 1 species